GAUGAACGCUGGCGGCGUGCUUAACACAUGCAAGUCGAACGGAAAGGCUCCUGCUUGCAGGGGUACUCGAGUGGCGAACGGGUGAGUAACACGUGGGUGAUCUGCCCUGCACUUCGGGAUAAGCCUGGGAAACUGGGUCUAAUACCGGAUAGGACGAUGGUUUGGAUGCCAUUGUGGAAAGUUUUUCGGUGUGGGAUGAGCUCGCGGCCUAUCAGCUUGUUGGUGGGGUAAUGGCCUACCAAGGCGUCGACGGGUAGCCGGCCUGAGAGGGUGUACGGCCACAUUGGGACUGAGAUACGGCCCAGACUCCUACGGGAGGCAGCAGUGGGGAAUAUUACACAAUGGGCGCAAGCCUGAUGCAGCGACGCCGCGUGGGGGAUGACGGCCUUCGGGUUGUAAACUCCUUUCGCUAGGGACGAAGCGCAAGUGACGGUACCUGGAGAAGAAGCACCGGCUAACUACGUG
rnacentral:rRNA from 1 species